GGGUUGUGAGGUUAAGCGACUAAGCGUACACGGUGGAUGCCCUGGCAGUCAGAGGCGAUGAAGGACGUGCUAAUCUGCGAUAAGCGCCGGUAAGGUGAUAUGAACCGUUAUAACCGGCGAUUUCCGAAUGGGGAAACCCAGUGUGACUCGUCACACUAUCAUUAACUGAAUCCAUAGGUUAAUGAGGCGAACCGGGGGAACUGAAACAUCUAAGUACCCCGAGGAAAAGAAAUCAACCGAGAUUCCCCCAGUAGCGGCGAGCGAACGGGGAGGAGCCCAGAGCCUGAAUCAGCAUGUGUGUUAGUGGAAGCGUCUGGAAAGGCGCGCGAUACAGGGUGACAGCCCCGUACACAAAAGCGCAUGUGCUGUGAGCUCGAUGAGUAGGGCGGGACACGUGGUAUCCUGUCUGAAUAUGGGGGGACCAUCCUCCAAGGCUAAAUACUCCUGACUGACCGAUAGUGAACCAGUACCGUGAGGGAAAGGCGAAAAGAACCCCGGCGAGGGGAGUGAAAAAGAACCUGAAACCGUGUACGUACAAGCAGUGGGAGCACCCUUUGGGGUGUGACUGCGUACCUUUUGUAUAAUGGGUCAGCGACUUAUAUUCUGUAGCAAGGUUAACCGUAUAGGGGAGCCGCAGGGAAACCGAGUCUUAACCGGGCGUUAAGUUGCAGGGUAUAGACCCGAAACCCGGUGAUCUAGCCAUGGGCAGGUUGAAGGUUGGGUAACACUAACUGGAGGACCGAACCGACUAAUGUUGAAAAAUUAGCGGAUGACCUGUGGCUGGGGGUGAAAGGCCAAUCAAACCGGGAGAUAGCUGGUUCUCCCCGAAAGCUAUUUAGGUAGCGCCUCGUGAAUUCAUCUCCGGGGGUAGAGCACUGUUUCGGCUAGGGGGCCAUCCCGGCUUACCAACCCGAUGCAAACUGCGAAUACCGGAGAAUGUUAUCACGGGAGACACACGGCGGGUGCUAACGUCCGUCGUGAAGAGGGAAACAACCCAGACCGCCAGCUAAGGUCCCAAAGUCAUGGUUAAGUGGGAAACGAUGUGGGAAGGCCCAGACAGCCAGGAUGUUGGCUUAGAAGCAGCCAUCAUUUAAAGAAAGCGUAAUAGCUCACUGGUCGAGUCGGCCUGCGCGGAAGAUGUAACGGGGCUAAACCAUGCACCGAAGCUGCGGCAGCGA
rnacentral:rRNA from 3 species